GACGAACGCUGGCGGCGUGCUUAACACAUGCCAGUCGAACGGAAAGGCCCCCAUCUUGGUGGGGGUGCUCGAGUGGCGAACGGGUGAGUAACACGUGGGUGAUCUGCCCUGUACUUCGGGAUAAGCUUGGGAAACUGGGUCUAAUACCGGAUAGGACCAUGGUUUAGUGUCUCAUGGUGGAAAGAUUAUUGUUUUGGUGCAGGAUGAGCUCGCGGCCUAUCAGCUUGUUGGUGGGGUAAUGGCCUACCAAGGCGUCGACGGGUAGCCGGCCUGAGAGGGUGGACGGCCACAUUGGGACUGAGAUACGGCCCAGACUCCUACGGGAGGCAGCAGUGGGGAAGAUUGCACAAUGGGCGCAAGCCUGAUGCAGCGACGCCGCGUGGGGGAUGACGGCCUUCGGGUUGUAAACUCCUUUCGUUAGGGACGAAGCCGCACUUUUUUUGGGUGUGGUGACGGUACCUUUGUUAAGAAGCACCGGCUAACUACGUG
rnacentral:rRNA from 1 species